AUUGAACGCUGGCGGCAGGCCUAACACAUGCAAGUCGAACGAGUGGCGGACGGGUGAGUAAUGUCUGGGCAACUGCCCGAUGGAGGGGGAUAACUACUGGAAACGGUAGCUAAUACCGCAUACCAUCGGAUGUGCCCAGAUGGGAUUAGCUAGUAGGUGGGGUAACGGCUCACGUAGGCGACGAUCCCUAGCUGGUCUGAGAGGCAGACCAGCCACACUGGAACUGAGACACGGUCCAGACUCCUACGGGAGGCAGCAGUGGGGAAUAUUGCACAAGGGGCGCAAGCCUGAUGCAGCCAUGCCGCGUGUAUGAAGAAGGCCUUCGGGUUGUAAAGUACGUUCAGCGAGGAGGCGUUACUCGCAGAGGAAGCACCGGCUAACUCCGUGCCAGCCGCCGCGGUAAUUC
rnacentral:rRNA from 1 species